GACGAACGCUGGCGGCGUGCUUAACACAUGCAAGUCGAACGGAAAGGCCCUGCUUUUGUGGGGUGCUCGAGUGGCGAACGGGUGAGUAACACGUGAGUAACCUGCCCUUGACUUUGGGAUAACUUCAGGAAACUGGGGCUAAUACCGGAUAGGAGCUCCUGCUGCAUGGUGGGGGUUGGAAAGUUUCGGCGGUUGGGGAUGGACUCGCGGCUUAUCAGCUUGUUGGUGGGGUAGUGGCUUACCAAGGCUUUGACGGGUAGCCGGCCUGAGAGGGUGACCGGCCACAUUGGGACUGAGAUACGGCCCAGACUCCUACGGGAGGCAGCAGUGGGGAAUAUUGCACAAUGGGCGGAAGCCUGAUGCAGCAACGCCGCGUGCGGGAUGACGGCCUUCGGGUUGUAAACCGCUUUCGCCUGUGACGAAGCGUGAGUGACGGUAAUGGGUAAAGAAGCACCGGCUAACUACGUGCCAGCAGCCGCGGUGAUACGUAGGGUGCGAGCGUUGUCCGGAUUUAUUGGGCGUAAAGGGCUCGUAGGUGGUUGAUCGCGUCGGAAGUGUAAAUCUUGGGGCUUAACCCUGAGCGUGCUUUCGAUACGGGUUGACUUGAGGAAGGUAGGGGAGAAUGGAAUUCCUGGUGGAGCGGUGGAAUGCGCAGAUAUCAGGAGGAACACCAGUGGCGAAGGCGGUUCUCUGGGCCUUUCCUGACGCUGAGGAGCGAAAGCGUGGGGAGCGAACAGGCUUAGAUACCCUGGUAGUCCACGCUGUAAACGGUGGGUACUAGGUGUGGGGUCCAUUCCACGGGUUCCGUGCCGUAGCUAACGCUUUAAGUACCCCGCCUGGGGAGUACGGCCGCAAGGCUAAAACUCAAAGGAAUUGACGGGGCCCCGCACAAGCGGCGGAGCAUGCGGAUUAAUUCGAUGCAACGCGUAGAACCUUACCUGGGUUUGACAUGGAUCGGGAGCGCUCAGAGAUGGGUGUGCCUCUUUUGGGGUCGGUUCACAGGUGGUGCAUGGCUGUCGUCAGCUCGUGUCGUGAGAUGUUGGGUUAAGUCCCGCAACGAGCGCAACCCUUGUUCACUGUUGCCAGCACGUUAUGGUGGGGACUCAGUGGAGACCGCCGGGGUCAACUCGGAGGAAGGUGGGGAUGACGUCAAGUCAUCAUGCCCCUUAUGUCCAGGGCUUCACGCAUGCUACAAUGGCUGGUACAGAGAGUGGCGAGCCUGUGAGGGUGAGCGAAUCUCGGAAAGCCGGUCUCAGUUCGGAUUGGGGUCUGCAACUCGACCUCAUGAAGUCGGAGUCGCUAGUAAUCGCAGAUCAGCAACGCUGCGGUGAAUACGUUCCCGGG
rnacentral:rRNA from 1 species